rnacentral:rRNA from 1 species
GGGUCUCGCUCGUUACCUGACUUAACAGGAUGCUUCACAGUACGAACUGACGACGGCCAUGCACCACCUCUCAGCUAAUCCGGCAAAGUCUUCAGCCUGGCCUUCAUAUUGCUGUCGGUCCCGGUAAGAUUUCCGGCGUUGAAUCCAAUUAAACCGCAAGCUCCACCCGUUGUGGUGCUCCCCCGCCAAUUCCUUUAAGUUUCAGCCUUGCGGCCGUACUUCCCAGGUGGCUCGCUUCACGGCUUCCCUACGGCACCGACAACGGUCGCACCGUGGCCGACACCUAGCGAGUAUCGUUUACGGCUAGGACUACCCGGGUAUCUAAUCCGAUUCGUGCCCCUAGCUUUCGUCCCUUGCCGUCAGGUCCGUUCUGGUGAGACGCCUUCGCCACUGGUGGUCCUUCAAGGAUUACAAGAUUUCACCCCUACCCCUGAAGUACCUCUCACCUCUCCCGGCCUCGAGCCAGACAGUAUCUCCUGAAAGCCUGACAGUUAAGCUGCCAGAUUUCUCAAGAGACUUAUCCGGCCGGCUACAGACCCUUUAGACCCAAUAAUAACGGUUACCACUCGAGCCGCCGGUGUUACCGCGGCGGCUGGCACCGGUCUUGCCCGGCCCUUGCUAUGCAAUGCUUUUUAGGCAUCACGACAGCCAGAUUUGUAACCUGGCACUCGAGGUUCCCUUAUCGCUGUUGCCAGCAUUGUAAGGUUUUCGCGCCUGCUGCACCCCGUAGGGCCUGGAUUCGUGUCUCAGAAUCCAUCUCCGGGCUCUUGCUCUCACAACCCGUACCCGUCGUAGGCUAGUAGGUACGCUACACCCACUACUACCUGAUAGGCCGCAGACCCAUCCUUAGGCGCCGGAGCUUUAAAUCUCGAUGCAUUCCAGCAAUCGAGACCUAUCGGGUAUUAUACCCAGUUUCCCGGGUUUAUACCCAACCUAAGGGCAGGUUGUCCACGUGUUACUGAGCAGUUCGCCAUGUAUUGCUACAUUCGACUCGCAUGGCUUAGGCGAACACCGAUAGCAGUAACCUCUGGCAGGAUCAACCGGA